GCUUGGCUGGCUCAGUUGGUAGGGUAUGUGAUUCUGGAUCUCAGAACCAUAGGUUCAAGUCCCAUCUUAGGUG
rnacentral:tRNA from 1 species